AUGAUGGACAUUGUGAACACCUACACUGUGAACACCUACACUGGGAACACCUACACUGUGAACACCUACACUGGGAACACCUACACUGGGAACACCUACACUGUGAACACCUACAUUGUGAACACCUACACUGGGAACACCUACAUUGUGAACACCUACACUGGGAACACCUACACUGGGAACACCUACACUGGGAACACCUACACUGUGAACACCUACACUGGGAACACCUACACUGUGAACACCUACACUGGGAACACCUACACUGGGAACACCUACACUGUGAACACCUACAUUGUGAACACCUACACUGGGAACACCUACAUUGUGAACACCUACACUGGGAACACCUACACUGGGAACACCUACACUGUGAACACCUACACUGGGAACACCUACAUUGUGAACACCUACACUGGGAACACCUACAUUGUGAACACCUACACUGUGAACACCUACACUGGGAACACCCACACUGUGAACACCUACACUGGGAACGCCUACACUGGGAACACCUACAUUGUGAACACCUACAUUGUGAACACCUACACUGUGAACACCUACAUUGUGAACACCUACACUGUGAACACCUACACUGGGAACACCUACACUGUGAACACCUACACUGUGAACACCUACACUGUGAACACCUACACUGUGAACACCUACACUGUGAACACCUACACUGUGAACACCUACAUUGUGAACACCUACACUGGGAACACCUACACUGUGAACACCUACACUGUGAACACCUACACUGUGAACACCUACACUGUGAACACCUACAUUGUGAACACCUACACUGGGAACACCUACACUGUGAACACCUACACUGUGAACACCUACACUGUGAACACCUACACUGUGAACACCUACAUUGUGAACACCUACACUGUGAACACCUACACUGGGAACACCUACACUGUGAACACCUACACUGUGAACACCUACACUGUGAACACCUACAUGAAACAAAAUGUGCAGGCGUUAAAGAUCUGCGAUGUCAUAGUAAAUAUGGAUGAAAUAUUUCCGUGGCCUUCCACAUGA
rnacentral:lncRNA from 1 species